GGUUAAGCGACUAAGCGUACACGGUGGAUGCCCUGGCAGUCAGAGGCGAUGAAGGACGUGCUAAUCUGCGAUAAGCGUCGGUAAGGUGAUAUGAACCGUUAUAACCGGCGAUUUCCGAAUGGGGAAACCCAGUGUGUUUCGACACACUAUCAUUAACUGAAUCCAUAGGUUAAUGAGGCGAACCGGGGGAACUGAAACAUCUAAGUACCCCGAGGAAAAGAAAUCAACCGAGAUUCCCCCAGUAGCGGCGAGCGAACGGGGAGGAGCCCAGAGCCUGAAUCAGUGUGUGUGUUAGUGGAAGCGUCUGGAAAGGCGCGCGAUACAGGGUGACAGCCCCGUACACAAAAAUGCACAUGCUGUGAGCUCGAUGAGUAGGGCGGGACACGUGGUAUCCUGUCUGAAUAUGGGGGGACCAUCCUCCAAGGCUAAAUACUCCUGACUGACCGAUAGUGAACCAGUACCGUGAGGGAAAGGCGAAAAGAACCCCGGCGAGGGGAGUGAAAAAGAACCUGAAACCGUGUACGUACAAGCAGUGGGAGCAUGCUUAGGCGUGUGACUGCGUACCUUUUGUAUAAUGGGUCAGCGACUUAUAUUCUGUAGCAAGGUUAACCGAAUAGGGGAGCCGAAGGGAAACCGAGUCUUAACUGGGCGUUAAGUUGCAGGGUAUAGACCCGAAACCCGGUGAUCUAGCCAUGGGCAGGUUGAAGGUUGGGUAACACUAACUGGAGGACCGAACCGACUAAUGUUGAAAAAUUAGCGGAUGACUUGUGGCUGGGGGUGAAAGGCCAAUCAAACCGGGAGAUAGCUGGUUCUCCCCGAAAGCUAUUUAGGUAGC
rnacentral:rRNA from 1 species